AGCGUACACGGUGGAUGCCCUGGCAGUCAGAGGCGAUGAAGGGCGUGCUAAUCUGCGAUAAGCGCCGGUAAGGUGAUAUGAACCGUUAUAACCGGCGAUACCCGAAUGGGGAAACCCAGUGUGAUUCGUCACACUAUCAUUAACUGAAUCCAUAGGUUAAUGAGGCGAACCGGGGGAACUGAAACAUCUAAGUACCCCGAGGAAAAGAAAUCAACCGAGAUUCCCCCAGUAGCGGCGAGCGAACGGGGAGGAGCCCAGAGCCUGAAUCAGCAUGUGUGUUAGUGGAAGCGUCUGGAAAGGCGCGCGAUACAGGGUGACAGCCCCGUACACAAAAGCGCAUGUGCUGUGAGCUCGAUGAGUAGGGCGGGACACGUGGUAUCCUGUCUGAAUAUGGGGGGACCAUCCUCCAAGGCUAAAUACUCCUGACUGACCGAUAGUGAACCAGUACCGUGAGGGAAAGGCGAAAAGAACCCCGGCGAGGGGAGUGAAAAAGAACCUGAAACCGUGUACGUACAAGCAGUGGGAGCACAGGUUUACCUGUGUGACUGCGUACCUUUUGUAUAAUGGGUCAGCGACUUAUAUUCUGUAGCAAGGUUAACCGUAUAGGGGAGCCGUAGGGAAACCGAGUCUUAACCGGGCGUUAAGUUGCAGGGUAUAGACCCGAAACCCGGUGAUCUAGCCAUGGGCAGGUUGAAGGUUGGGUAACACUAACUGGAGGACCGAACCGACUAAUGUUGAAAAAUUAGCGGAUGACCUGUGGCUGGGGGUGAAAGGCCAAUCAAACCGGGAGAUAGCUGGUUCUCCCCGAAAGCUAUUUAGGUAGCGCCUCGUGAAUUCAUCUCCGGGGGUAGAGCACUGUUUCGGCUAGGGGGCCAUCCCGGCGUACCAACCCGAUGCAAACUGCGAAUGCCAGAGAAUGUUAUCACGGGAGACACACGGCGGGUGCUAACGUCCGUCGUGAAGAGGGAAACAACCCAGACCGCCAGCUAAGGUCCCAAAGUCAUGGUUAAGUGGGAAACGAUGUGGGAAGGCCCAGACAGCCAGGAUGUUGGCUUAGAAGCAGCCAUCAUUUAAAGAAAGCGUAAUAGCUCACUGGUCGAGUCGGCCUGCGCGGAAGAUGUAACGGGGCUAAACCAUGCACCGAAGCUGCGGCAGCGAACGUAUCACCCAAGACAACUUUACGGAGUUGACGAUUGACGGAGCGAAGCGACGUCAAAGCGUUCAUUAAAGUCGAGUUGGCUUAGGGAUACGUUCGUUGGGUAGGGGAGCGUUCUGUAAGCCUGUGAAGGUGUGUCGUGAGGCAUGCUGGAGGUAUCAGAAGUGCGAAUGCUGACAUAAGUAACGAUAAAGCGGGUGAAAAGCCCGCUCGCCGGAAGACCAAGGGUUCCUGUCCAACGUUAAUCGGGGCAGGGUGAGUCGACCCCUAAGGCGAGGCCGAAAGGCGUAGUCGAUGGGAAACGGGUUAAUAUUCCCGUACUUGGUGUUACUGCGAAGGGGGGACGGAGAAGGCUAUGUUGGCCGGGCGACGGUUGUCCCGGUUUAAGCGUGUAGGUGUGUGUUCCAGGUAAAUCCGGUUCACUUUAACACUGAGGCGUGAUGACGAGGCACUACGGUGCUGAAGCAACAAAUGCCCUGCUUCCAGGAAAAGCCUCUAAGCAUCAGGUAACAUCAAAUCGUACCCCAAACCGACACAGGUGGUCAGGUAGAGAAUACCAAGGCGCUUGAGAGAACUCGGGUGAAGGAACUAGGCAAAAUGGUGCCGUAACUUCGGGAGAAGGCACGCUGACACGUAGGUGAAGUGAUUUACUCACGGAGCUGAAGUCAGUCGAAGAUACCAGCUGGCUGCAACUGUUUAUUAAAAACACAGCACUGUGCAAACACGAAAGUGGACGUAUACGGUGUGACGCCUGCCCGGUGCCGGAAGGUUAAUUGAUGGGGUCAGCGCAAGCGAAGCUCCUGAUCGAAGCCCCGGUAAACGGCGGCCGUAACUAUAACGGUCCUAAGGUAGCGAAAUUCCUUGUCGGGUAAGUUCCGACCUGCACGAAUGGCGUAAUGAUGGCCAGGCUGUCUCCACCCGAGACUCAGUGAAAUUGAACUCGCUGUGAAGAUGCAGUGUACCCGCGGCAAGACGGAAAGACCCCGUGAACCUUUACUAUAGCUUGACACUGAACAUUGAGCCUUGAUGUGUAGGAUCUGGGGGGUGGCCGUGUCGUUUGUACGAAAGUCUGCAUGGAGCCGACCUUGAAAUACCACCCUUUAAUGU
rnacentral:rRNA from 1 species